rnacentral:rRNA from 1 species
GACGAACGCUGUUUGCGUGCUUAACACAUGCAAGUCGAACGGAAAGGCCCUGCUUUUGUGGGGUGCUCGAGUGGCGAACGGGUGAGUAACACGUGAGUAACCUGCCCUUGACUUUGGGAUAACUUCAGGAAACUGGGGCUAAUACCGGAUAGGAGCUCCUGCUGCAUGGUGGGGGUUGGAAAGUUUCGGCGGUUGGGGAUGGACUCGCGGCUUAUCAGCUUGUUGGUGGGGUAGUGGCUUACCAAGGCUUUGACGGGUAGCCGGCCUGAGAGGGUGACCGGCCACAUUGGGACUGAGAUACGGCCCAGACUCCUACGGGAGGCAGCAGUGGGGAAUAUUGCACAAUGGGCGGAAGCCUGAUGCAGCAACGCCGCGUGCGGGAUGACGGCCUUCGGGUUGUAAACCGCUUUCGCCUGUGACGAAGCGUGAGUGACGGUAAUGGGUAAAGAAGCACCGGCUAACUACGUGCCAGCAGCCGCGGUGAUACGUAGGGUGCGAGCGUUGUCCGGAUUUAUUGGGCGUAAAGGGCUCGUAGGUGGUUGAUCGCGUCGGAAGUGUAAUCUUGGGGCUUAACCCUGAGCGUGCUUUCGAUACGGGUUGACUUGAGGAAGGUAGGGGAGAAUGGAAUUCCUGGUGGAGCGGUGGAAUGCGCAGAUAUCAGGAGGAACACCAGUGGCGAAGGCGGUUCUCUGGGCCUUUCCUGACGCUGAGGAGCGAAAGCGUGGGGAGCGAACAGGCUUAGAUACCCUGGUAGUCCACGCUGUAAACGGUGGGUACUAGGUGUGGGGUCCAUUCCACGGGUUCCGUGCCGUAGCUAACGCUUUAAGCACCCCGCCUGGGGAGUACGGCCGCAAGGCUAAAACUCAAAGGAAUUGACGGGGCCCCGCACAAGCGGCGGAGCAUGCGGAUUAAUUCGAUGCAACGCGUAGAACCUUACCUGGGUUUGACAUGGAUCGGGAGUGCUCAGAGAUGGGUGUGCCUCUUUUGGGGUCGGUUCACAGGUGGUGCAUGGCUGUCGUCAGCUCGUGUCGUGAGAUGUUGGGUUAAGUCCCGCAACGAGCGCAACCCUUGUUCACUGUUGCCAGCACGUUAUGGUGGGGACUCAGUGGAGACCGCCGGGGUCAACUCGGAGGAAGGUGGGGAUGACGUCAAGUCAUCAUGCCCCUUAUGUCCAGGGCUUCACGCAUGCUACAAUGGCUGGUACAGAGAGUGGCGAGCCUGUGAGGGUGAGCGAAUCUCGGAAAGCCGGUCUCAGUUCGGAUUGGGGUCUGCAACUCGACCUCAUGAAGUCGGAGUCGCUAGUAAUCGCAGAUCAGCAACGCUGCGGUGAAUACGUUCCCGGG